rnacentral:rRNA from 1 species
GACGAACGCUGGCGGCGUGCUUAACACAUGCCAGUCGAACGGAAAGGCCCUGCUUUCGUGGUGUGCUCGAGUGGCGAACGGGUGAGUAACACGUGAGUAACCUGACCUAGACUUUGGGAUAACUUCAGGAAACUGGGGUUACUACCGGAUAGCAGCUCCUGCUGCAUGGUGGGGGUUGGAAAGUCUCGGCGGUUGGGGAUGGACUCGCGGCUUAUCAGCUUGUUGGUGGGGUAGUGGCUUACCAAGGCUUUGACGGGUAGCCGGCCUGAGAGGGUGACCGGCCACAUUGGGACUGAGAUACGGCCCAGACUCCUACGGGAGGCAGCAGUGGGGAAUAUUGCACAAUGGGCGGAAGCCUGAUGCAGCAACGCCGCGUGCGGGAUGACGGCCUUCGGGUUGUAAACCGCUUUCGCCUGUGACGAAGCGUGAGUGACGGUAAUGGGUAAAGAAGCACCGGCUAACUACGUG